GAAGAGGCGCGCGAGGGGAUCCAGCGCCGUGGGCGAUAAUGAUCGGCGCCUCAUCUGUCGGAAACUGCUCGCAAUCAUACCUCAGAUUCUUAGCGCGCAUUCAUGCCGAUUGAUGUGCCAAUCCUUUCCGCUGCCGAGCGGUACCUGUAUAUAUGCUACCUUCCUCCUCUGGUACUUUUCACUCUCCCUCUCUACGCCGGCAGCAAAACAUCUUUCAAGAUCAUGCCGGGUGAUGUUCAUGCUAGCGGUGCUGGAUUGAUUUCAUUUUGGAGCUUCGUACUGGAAUUUUUUGGUGUUGGUAAUCUCAAAUCUUUUGGACAGUUAACACCAAUAUUUUUAUGCCGCACGAUUGCUUACAUUACAUCUUCCCUGUUGAUGCUCCACUACUUUUAGUUUCACUGGAGAUUUCCAUGCUCUUUGUACUUGCGCCUCUUGAAGAUGGGGCAUAUCCUUCCUUUUGUUUAGACAAAGUGUCAGUAUGUGUUUUCCUUUUGAUGUUCAGAAGCAGAGGCCGAUUGUGCUUCUGAACUAGCAGUGUCUAAGGCCAAUAUGUCGCUGUUACAUACAGACCUACCAGGUUCAUUGGAGUUCUGCUUGAUGGAACUUUCUGUUUGCUUCCACUUUUUCACUAUUAUCUUUUGUGCGUGGGUUUUCUGAAGCUCCCAGAAAAGUGACACCACUAGCCUUUCGUGCAAUAAUUUUUCUUAUAAUCUUGCCAUAUUUUGGAGGCAGAGGUUUUCCCUUACUAUACAUUACACAUGUUGGGAAAUACCAAUCUGCAUUAGACAUGCCUUCAUUCCCAUCCGGCUGAAGGCAAUUUAAGUGUAUACCUCUCUUGCAAGCAUCACAACAGUGGUGAAUGUUUUACAUGUUUGACAGUCCAGCCGAGCAUGCAUAUACUCACUUGAUGGUAGCAUCCAGCUAGGAUGAUUGGCAGUUGAACGAGAAGCAGUAUUUCUGUUGAACAAAUGUUGCUGCUCCCGGUGGAACUUCAUCUCCUAUAAUAGUGUUUCCGUUGACAGGUUGAGUCAUAGGUGCCUUCUUUUCCUGAGACUUCAGUGUUACUCUGUUGCUUGUUCUUAAAAAAAAGAUUCCUGGCGUUCCUUCCAUCACAUUAGAGUACACAUGCUCUCGCUCCGUGGCCAGUCAUGUAGAACUGGCCUCACCACUGUAAGAUCUAUGUCACAAGUUACAAGCGAGUUUGUAUGUUCUCUCCAUUAUUGCUUUAUCCUGGUUUACAUUAUCAGCAUCCUCACUUCUCUUCUUGUCUUUGUCCUUCUUAAAAAAUGUCUUCAGCAUGAUUAAUUGAAGCGUGUAAAAUAUAUAAAAUUAUCGUCCGCACAAUAAAAAUUGUUCUUUGUCAGCAAAAUGUUUAAAAGGGUGGUUUCAGUUUGAUAUAAAAGUUCAUGCCUCAUCUUACAUGGAAUUUUGUCAUGGUGAUUUAACCAAUAAACUUAAUAUAUGUACUAAUUUAUGUUAUGCUUUAUGUAGUUUGGUUGCAUUUUGCUAUGAUAGACCUUGACUUCGGGUGGACGUAAUGGAAAAUGCCCAACUAUCUUACUGCUUAAUAAAUACAUCCACAAGUUUAUGGAGAAUUAAGCUAAUAGACAUGUCAGUGUUUAUCUGCCGUAACUUUCUUUGGUGUCGUGGGUUGCAUUGAAACUUUGCUACUGCUUGUGGUGUAGGUAUUUCUCUAUAUUUCAGAAUCAUGCUUGAAGCUCCAUAGAGGUAGAUGAAAGAACGUCUAUUCAUCUUGAGAGUUUCCGGCAACCCAAAUAUACUAGAAGGCAGAAUCAUUUAUGUAAAAUGAGUUCAUUAUGUAGUCGAUUAGGAUUAGGAGUGGAACAUUGCGUGCACAAACAAUUAUAUUGUAUAUUUUCAUUAUCUUGUUUGACUUCCAGGUAUGGAGGUGAGCACACGA